AUGCAUAUGCUAACUCAUAUCCGCGUACCGCAGCCUCUAUAUCAACUGAUCGCCUAACGAAGCAUGUAAAUUAGAGUAAAAUAUCUAUGUCGUUAACACGAAAAUUGCAGCAUUAAUAAUCAGCAAAUUAAAUACCAUAUACGAUUUUGCCAAUAUAUAAAAUCAACUGAGUUGCGUAAAGCACUUUAAAGCCAAUAAACAAAUAUUAAAUGCAAAUAAAUUAGAACGCCAAAAAAAAGUUAGUACCAACAAACAUACCACAAUCAAUGCGCAAAAAAAAAGUAAAUGCAUGUAAUUGCGCGACGAAGCAAAUGAGCUGCACAAUUUCGCAAUGCGUUUAUAAAUAUUUAAUAUAUUAUUUUUUGUAAUUGCAACAGCAAUACCAACAACAAACACACACAAAAAAUAUGCGCGCGCAAAUUAACAUGCUUAAAAUACAUAAAUUCAUAUUAAUAUAGAUGUAAUUUGCGCAAAAAAUGUGCAAAGGGGAGCAAACACAACAACAAAAAAAAAAAUAAUGACAAAAGAGCUGAAAGAAAUAAUUAAAAGUGUUUGCCAUUUAUUGCACUACGGCGCCAUCGUCAAAUGAAAGGCAAAUAAAAAAAUAUAUAAUAAUAAUUUAUAAAUAAGUAAGCAAGCAAGCAGACAGGCGCAUACAAUUGCAACGGAAAUGUACACACAUAAAAAGCCUGCUUAAUAAUAACAUUUAUAAUAAAAAGUGCAAACACAUUUACCGCAAAACGCGCAGCUCUAAAAUAAUACUACAAAAGUGUGGCGGCGCCGUUGUCGCGUUACCCAUACGCCACCGUAUACGCAGGCGAAUAAAAAGCCACUUGAGCAUUGCCAUCGAGUUGGUGUUGCUGUUGCUGUUGUAGAAGUGUUUGUUUGCGCGUCAGUAUAUGGCUGAGUGUGUAUGCCCAUGUGCGUUCGCUCUGUUAAUGUAAAGUCAUAAAUUAUGUAUUUAAUUAAUUAAUAGCGCAAAACAAUAGCAGCAUAUUAACACAUGUGCGAGUGCGAGUGCGAGUGUGAGAGGCGUAGACAAACAAAUUUACAAGUAGACGAAAUAUAAAAAGCACGCUGCUUUGAGUGCCCCUUCUAAUGUCGCUGCAAAUUGCAAAGAAAGUUGGCGCAUUGUCUUGAAGCUCUUUUUAUGCUUAAUUAAGCGGAUUUAUUUUGUUAAUUACAGCAUAGUAAAUACAUAGUUGUGUGUAAUCAUUAAUAAUACUUCAAAAUCAGGAAUUAUCGUAGUGCCUAUUGUAUGAAUUUCAAAUAAAUAAAACAAAAAAAGUAUUAGGUGAGAAAAUUAUAGGAAAUAAAUAAAAGUUAAAUCUUACAAAGCCGUACAUAUCUUUCUGCGUUAGUGGACACCAAUGGGAUAUUGAUCGUUGAGAUUUCAGGAUAUUGGUUUUAUAGAAAGUGCUUGUAAAUGAGAUGCAGCAGACAAAAGGAUUUAACUAAGGCAGUCUAAGUAAAUGAAAAGCAGCAGGCAGCAAUAAAACAAACAAUAAACUGGGAAAUAAAGCUUACCAUUUGGCGACACUGAAUUGCAGUAAACGCGAAAGCAAAAUAAUGUCUCGCUUUUAAAAGCGGAAACGGAAACUCAAUCAAUGCGUUACAAAAGUACGCUUCAGGCGCUUAAAUACAAUAAGCAACUUAAGUAGAAGUUGAACAAAAAAAAAACGUAAAAAGUAGCAACUAUAAAAUAAUAGCUAAGGAAAAUAAAAAUUGCAGUGGGAAAUAGAGCAAAACAGCUAAAGGGAACUACAGAAACAACUUACUGAGAUAAAAGAAAAAAAUAUUAAAAAAAAUUUAAGCAGAAAUCAGGGAAGCAAAUCAGAGUUGCAGAAAAAGAUUGGGAAUCAUUUAAAUUGUACAAUUGGAGGACAAGGUGGAGUGAAGUGGGAGGAAGAGUGCAGCGGUGAAGGCUGCUGAGAAGAAAAAAAAAUAAUCGAACAGAAAACAGGUGCAACACAAAAGCGCAACGGAAGUGAAAUCGGUGAAAUAUUCACGCACACCAUUGCAACGCUGAGAAAAUGCUGAAAUAAAGGGCAGCAGCGAAUGAGAAGUGAAUAAGUACUGAAAAACAAGCAAAAAAAAUGUUGCUGUAAGACGUCUACAACAGGAAUUAAACUAUAAAACAACUGAAAUUCGUCGACAACAACAAAAGCACAUUUUGUAACGUAUUUCCGGUAUUGUAAGCGUUGCAAGCAAAAUAAAGCAAAGUGUGGGUGACUGAAGGAUAGAUAGAGCGAGGGAGCGCGUGAAGAGUGAAUUUGGAAAAACUAAGUUUAGCGUAAAGUUUGAGCAUAAAAUAGCAGAGCAACGGAAUAAAUAGCAAUAAAUAAGUACAUGAGAAGAUUUGCUAAUAAAUAACUGCGAAAAAUUACUAAAUAGAAUUUCCAAAAAAUUUUUAAAA